rnacentral:rRNA from 1 species
AGGGGUUAGCGUUGUUCGGAAUUACUGGGCGUAAAGCGCGCGUAGGCGGACUAUUAAGUCAGGGGUGAAAUACCCGGGGCUCAACCCCGGAACUGCCUUUGAUACUGGUAGUCUUGAGUUCGAGAGAGGUGAGUGGAAUUCCGAGUGUAGAGGUGAAAAUUCGUAGAUAUUCGGAGGAACACCAGUGGCGAAGGCGGCUCACUGGCUCGAUACUGACGCUGAGGUGCGAAAGUGUGGGGAGCAAACAGGAUUAGAUACCCUGGUAG